ACUUACACGCAACACGUGGCUCGAUCAGCUCUGAGGGAAGCUUCUUUCCGUUUGUCUUUUGGUUAACGUUUCGCGUGCUGUGUUUGCUCUGGCCCGACCCUAUGUUGAAUGCACAACGUUUAAGAUAAUUAGAGGGUCGGUUACUUGAAUGAUUUAGUUGUCUGUAAUGUGCUUCAUACUUUGGUAGCCUUGUGCAUUAUAUUAUAUUAGAGACCUCCUGAAGAGUAUGAGGUAGGAAAAUGGAUGAGCAGAUAGAAAGAGAAGUGUUGGAGGGAAAGUUGAAUAGCGUAACGGACGUCUAUCCACAGAACCGGAGCACACUUGUCUCUUCGAAUAAAAAAAGCACGUUGAAGCAUCUGGAGUUUCGAAAGAGGCCUACGGGGGCUGGCUCUCCGUAUAAAAACUGUUUAUGUAUGUACCUCGUAUGCGUGGGAGCAAGAUUUUACUCCGGUCUACGCUGUCCUAAAGGAUAACCAUUGUCUGCAUUUUCGAAAUAUUCUUCAAGUUAGAAUAUACAGAGGGCAAUUAAAAAGUAAUCAAAAAAUUUAUUCGUAUAAAUAGAAUGAUUUACAAACACACGUGUAAUACAUGAGCAAUGAAUAUAGAUGAGGCGAGUACAAGAUUUUUAUGUUAGCCGAAUUGUAUCUUCUAGUAUUCUAUAGUGACGGUUUUCGUCUUCAGGUACUCGUUCAGAGCCUCCUGACCCAGAUCCUUGCCGAAGCCGGACAUCUUGAAGCCGCCAAACGGUGCAGCAACGUCCGUCUUGUUGUAAGUAUUGAUGAACACUGUGCCAGCUUCUAUUUUCUCUGCAAAUCUCAACGCUCUGCUGAUGUCCUUGGUCAGCACACCGGAAGCUAGACCAUACUCUGUGUUAUUAGCCCUGGCUAUCACUUCGUCCAUGUUCUUCGAAUUGAACUUUGAGAUGACCAUCACAGGACCAAAGGAUUCCUCUUUUGCUAUGUACAUGUCGUCUUUGACGUCUGUGAAUAUCGUAGGUUCAAAGUACCAUCCAGGACGAUCCAGCCUCUUCCCGCCGUAGACUAAUUUCGCUCCUUCUUUUACGCCACGAUGUACAAAGUCCAGAAGCUUGUUCAGAUGAGCCUUGUGAUUCUGUGGACCAUGUGCUGUUCUUCUGUCCAGUGGGUUCCCUAUGGAGAUCUUCUUUGUCUCUUCCACUAUCCUCCUCACGAAUUCAUCGUGUAUAGACUCCUCCACAAAUAGUCGACCUGUUUCAGAAAACAAUUUUAUUGUAGAUAAAGAAACUUGUAGCGUUGAAUUUACUUAUCGUUUGUUCACUUACCAGCAGCAAUGCAGUUUUCACCCUUGUUGAAGAACACGCUGCUCAUUCCAACCUUAACAGCAUGCUGGACAUCAGCAUCCUCGAAUAUAACCAAAGGACUUUUACCACCGAGCUCCAGGGUGACCUUUUUCAAAUUACUGUUUGCACAGGAUCUCAUUAUGGAUUGACCAAUUUGCGUGGAGCCUGUGAAUCCUAGUUUCCUGAUCAACGGAUGCUCGCAGAUGGCGUUUCCGGUCACAGUACCGUUUCCUGGUACGAUGUUUAUCACUCCAGGAGGGAAACCAGCCAGUGCAGCCAGCUCUGCGAAUUUCAAGGCUGUUAAAGGAGAGCAUCAUCAGAGGGUAGUUCCAGGGUGUGACCAGGCCACAAACACCAAUAGGUUCCUUUCUUGUGAAAGAUAGAUUACGAUUUGGCCUGGCAUGGGAUAUAGGUAUGGUGGAGCCUUGGAUCUUGUCGCACCAACCAGCAAAGUACCUCCAGGUCUCUAUAGACAUCCCUAUGUGGGUCUUCAAGGCUAAAGUGUACACAGCACCGGAGUCCAAGCUCUCUAUCGUGGCUAGUUCUUCCUUGUGCUGCUCCAUCAAGUCUGCUAGCCUAUAAAUACAUUUAAAAUCAAUUUAUGAAGACUAUUGAUUUUUGGUAGACUAUUUACAAGGUAAUAUAUUUACUUGAAGAGAAGAGAACCACGCUCCCUGGCGCUGAUCUUGCUCCAUUCACCCUCUUCGAAGGCCUUCUUGGCAGCCUUCACUGCCCUGUCCACAUCCUCCAUGGAACCACACUCUACCGGACAGAUGACGCUUUCAUCGUGAGGGUUGAUGGUGUCUAUUGGCUUUCCAUGACCAUUCACAAACUCUCCAUCGAUGAACAACUGUUUGGGGAACUUCAAAGUCAUGUUGUUUGCCUGUAACUCUACAGCAUCGUAUUUGAUCUCCUUGGAGGCAGAGAUACCUCUCGCUGCUAGGACCACUGUGGUGACGAAUUGCUGGAACACCGGAUUCAUGAAAACAUCUAUGUUUUGUAACGUAACUCCCAGAAUUCCAAACGAAUGGUUACAUUUUCCACGAACAGACGGGCUUCUCUACGUACCACACGCGAAGAAGUCUGUGUCAUUUUCGACAUCCAUGUUCAAGAUGCCAGCCCAGAUGUUCCUAACGGUAUCCACGGUGGCCAGCUCUUCCUCCGUGAACUGGAUCACAGUAUCCUCGUUCUUCUGACCAUAUUUGCUAGCAGGAAUGGUUCUUGUUCCAAUUUUUAUCCUCUCCACGUUGACAAAUCGGUCAUCGAUGGCAUUGAUCAGUAAUCCGCCUUCGUGAAUGAUGCCUACCCUGUUCUCCACGUUCACCUGAAUCUCAUGGGCAGGAACCUGGUCGCUGUUCCAUAAGCUAGACCCAAAUAGACGGACUUCCUCGUCGUUGAUGGUAGUCCAGGCUCCUGGAGUGCUGUCCAUGCCACGGAUGAAGUUAUGGAUCUGCUUGGCAGGCUUGGACCAAUCAAUUUUUUGAAGCUCCUUCUUAUUUAACAUGGGGUCGUAGCUAGCUCCUUCCUCCGGUUGAGGAAUCAUCGGCGCAGUACCUUUGGCCACUAGGUCUACAGCCUCCCCCAAGGCUUUGAUCCCUUCAGGAUAGAGGAAAUUAUUGUACAACGUAUCUACAGUGUCUUUGGGCUCGACUUUGCAAGAUCUCUGCAACAAGAUUGGCCCAGUGUCGAGGCCAUCGUCAGCCCAGAAGAUUGAGAACCCUGCAGUGUUGUCUCCUUCGAUGAGAGUCCUGAGGAAUUGGAAUAUUUAUUUUUAAAAAUUUCAUUCAAUUGAUCGAUGACAGCGCCUGACAAGAGGAUUGGUCAGUUCAGAAAAGAAACUGUCUCGUGAAAUGUCAUUUCAUAAACGUCUUAUCACGGUGCUUAUCAGUCGGCUUAUCGUUACAUUUAUUGAACGUGAAAGCAGCGAACAAACACGCAUUAUGUAUAGAGAUAAUGUCAGCCACGAAAACUGAUCCGAACCGGUUUCCAUAAUACGCGUGGUGCCUUUGAUUUGACCUAACUGAAUGUCUACUUGCACCCCCUCCACCGGGAGAUAAGCGUAGAGAAUAUUUCACAGUGAACGGUCUCCUUUAUUACGUUAUACGAUUGCAGCCACGUAACGCGUUAUUAUGUUGAUUGCAGGCCUACUAACCAGUUUAUGGCACUCGCGCCACGAUGCCUGGGUAGCAGAGACGGAUGGUAGCAUAUGCUGCGAUGACGAGGGUGAUUGAUCACCUCCAUGGGAAUAAAUUGACUGCAGAACGGAAGGACGUUCAAGUCGACUUCUAUCCGUUUAUACAGUUCCAACACCUCUGGUAACGUUACACCCUUGCUCCUCCAGGAUUUGAUUUUGAACACAGGGGUAUUGUCAGCUUUUGCUGUGACGGCUGCAUUCAGGAUACAAUAGUAUUUAUUUAAAUAUCAAGAAAUGAAGAAAAAUCGUUAUUGGACUUCCUGAUUACCUAAUGGAUCCUCCCGGUUCCCUUUAUCAGGGAUAGUGAAGACUCCUGUGAUCUGAUGACCACUUUGCUUCAAUAGUUUGUAAACUUCAGCCGCGAACGGGCUCUGACCGAUUAUAGCUACUUUCAGUUGCGCCAUCGCCGUCUAGGGAUUUCAAAUCGUUUGAAUCCUUUCAAUAUUUAUUAAUAAUAUUAUCUGUACUGUUAAUGGAGUACAGUGAAAUAUCUGAGACCCCGUUACAUUAAUUUAAAGAAGCGUGCUCAGUGUUAGUCGGUAAUGUGCACCUGAUACGUACCUAUUUGUGUAACGUGUUAACACGAUUCUGUCUCAGCUAACUUUCACUGUGCUUUUUUUUUAAGCGAACUGUAAAGAAAAGAAAAAUACGAGAUAAGGAAGCUUGUGCAUGAGAAAGUGGCUGCAAAAAUGUGGCUACUAUUGAGUAAUACAAGCGUUAGUUUUCUACCGCUUUUGCUAUUCCCAACUGUCGUUCACUUGCCAGCGCAAUAUUUGUUUGUACAGCUGGAAUGUCAGGACAGGGUGUAAACAGUAAUUGUAUUUACAAAUAAGAAGUAUCAGUGGUAGGAUGUCUUACGGUAUUCACGACGUAGGUUCGCAAUGAGAGAAAGUUCCUUAGAAAUAGCAUCUAGUCUAUGCGACGUUUACUCUUACGGCUCUCCUCUGGUGCAUUCACUUUACUACAACUUCACUUGACGUUUGCUAGGCUACUGACCCGCGAAUCACUUGCAGCUAUUGACUACCACCAGCUGAAGCACACGUUUAUAUAAGCUAGAGCGUAUCAGCCACGAGGGUCAAGAACUUUGAGGAGAUCCCGUGGCGAUUAUCUAUGACGUCCCACGAUCUUCUUCCUUAUCUUGGAUUUUUUUUUAAAUUGUGCACGCAAGAUUUCGCGGUAUUCCCCCGCACGGUGACAAUCAUUUGCUUGGUUUGCAAAAAAUAUUUACAGGAAGUAAAAUUGUUGCAGAGUAGACUUUUAUAAUAUCAAGAUUGCUUGAUAAAUGAUUAUUUAGAUAACUUUGUUGUUAGUAUCUAGUUAAAGGAGGUGAUAUAAUUAAUCUCUUUUUUUUCAAUGCUAAAGAAUAUUUAAUUAUAAUUAUUUACUUGAGUAAUUAUGAUACGAACUUAUAUGCAAAGUCAUCAGUUUUUUUUUUGGAUCGUUUAUCAUUGGUUUAAGUUCUGACUAGUAUUAGCAGGUUUUAAUCAAAAAUUCCUCCUAUCGAUUGGUCAGAGGUCAUUGAUAAGCUAGUCUCGUACCGGUUUUAGUCAGUUUUAGGUCACGAGUGUACAGAUCUUUGACCGAGGCAAAUAAGUAAUUUAUAUAAGACUUUGAAUACGUUGAAAGUUGCUUUUAACAACGCAAUUUCAGAAGGAUCAAUAUUAAGAAACUCGCUAUUUUAAAAAUAA